rnacentral:lncRNA from 1 species
AUACCAACUGUAAAGGCCUAAAACUUUAAGGAAAAGAAUAUGUAUUAUAAUGACAGAAGCAAUUAAGAGUUUAUGGUUAAUAUUUCUUACACAAUAAACCAGGAUGCCUAAUAGGACUACGAAAAUGUCCCUUUAAGGGAGUUCAAUAACGGAAUAAAUAAAAAAUAUAGCUAAAAAUCCUAUAGGGUUAAUCUCUAUUGGGAAACUCUGAUGGGAUGCAAGAUACUGCUUUUAUUCACAACCUUCU